AGUGAACGCUGGCGGUAGGCCUAACACAUGCAAGUCGAACGGCAGCACAGUAAGAGCUUGCUCUUACGGGUGGCGAGUGGCGGACGGGUGAGGAAUACAUCGGAAUCUACUUUUUCGUGGGGGAUAACGUAGGGAAACUUACGCUAAUACCGCAUACGACCUACGGGUGAAAGCAGGGGAUCUUCGGACCUUGCGCGAUUGAAUGAGCCGAUGUCGGAUUAGCUAGUUGGCGGGGUAAAGGCCCACCAAGGCGACGAUCCGUAGCUGGUCUGAGAGGAUGAUCAGCCACACUGGAAGGGAGACACGGUCCAGACUCCUACGGGAGGCAGCAGUGGGGAAUAUUGGACAAUGGGCGCAAACCUGAUCCAGCCAUACCGCGUGGGUGAGGAAGGCCUUCGGGUUGUAAAGCCCUUUUGUUGGGAAAGAAAAGCAGCAGGUUAAUACCCCGCUGUUCUGACGGUACCCAAAGAAUAAACACCGGCUAACUUCGUG
rnacentral:rRNA from 1 species